GCUUGCUUCGGCAGCAGCAUAUACUAAAAAUUCGAAUAAUACAGAGAAGAUUAGAAUGGCUCCUGCACAAGGAAUGACACACACAUUUGUGAAGCAUUCCAUAUUUUU